UACGUAGGGGGCAAGCGUUGUCCGGAUUUAUUGGGCGUAAAGAGCGUGUAGGCGGUUUGGUAGGUCCGCUGUGAAAACUCGAGGCUCAACCUCGAGACGCCGGUGGAAACCAUCAGACUAGAGUCCGGAAGAGGAGAGUGGAAUUCCUGGUGUAGCGGUGAAAUGCGCAGAUAUCAGGAAGAACACCAAUGGCGAAGGCGGCAUCCUGGCCAUGUCCUGACGCUCAGGGGCGAAAGCGUGGGGAGCAAACCGG
rnacentral:rRNA from 1 species